CCGUAAUGAGUCAAACACAUUGAAAUACAUACCAAUGACAUUUGCAAUAGAAUUCAGUAUAUAAGAGAGGAGUCAUUUCAUUCAUGUACAAGAAAUCUUCCAAUAUUACACUGGCAUUAAGAAGCAAAAGAAAUAGAGGCCUUUUUGGGGUAGCCAGGUGUGUAUUCAAAACAGCCAUUCCACUUGCAGUCUUUAAAGUUGCUUUCAUUUUCACAAAUUAUAGACUUUGAUUUGUGUGUAUGUAUGCAAGAGAUGCUCAAAUUUCUUAUUUGAAAACAGGAGUUGGCUUGACUAUUCAGGUUCCUCAUUAUUGUUGGUCCAGAGCAGGGAGUAAAACGUAUCUCAGGUAACAAACUGAGUGUCGACACAGAUGCAUUCAUCUCAGUGAACGGGACAAACCCCUGUUAUCAGUGCCUGAUAAGGAUGGAGAGGACAGAGACAGAAGGGUCCCACACAAGAGGCUUCAGGGCCUCAUGCAAAGAACACAGAACUCACGGCAGGCAGCAGAAAGAAGCUCAGAACCCUGUUCUGCCAAUGGCCUGUCAUGACCAGGGAGAAAGCAAAUUGUAGAGCUUCUUUUUCCUUAGCUAUGAAACGGAUUGAUAAUACUUACCUCAUCAUACAUCUUGGAGCAUGAACUGGACUUACAUCAAUAAAGAACUUGCCUGGCACAGAGUGGCAGAAUGAUGCUCUCCCAAACUUGUCCACAUCCUAAGCCCUAGAACUUACUGCUAUGUCUCUUUACAUGGAAAAGGAGAAUUAAGUUUGAAGACAGAAUUAAAGUUACUAAUAAAUGACUGUCGUGGAUCAUCCAGCAGGAAAUGUAAAAUAUUGGCUGCAAGAAGAAAUAAAAUCCAUGACAAUGGACUAAUAUCAUCUGUGAUGCCCACUCACUUCUACGUGGCAUGUGAGAACCAAUGCAUCUAUCUGCCUCAAUUAUACAGACACAGAUGUGGGGGCUUUACUGUCAUCUUCUGUGCCCAAGAUUGUCAUGACCUGAGGGAAACUGGACAUCUGAAAGGACCUCAUUAACACUGUGCACCAGUGAAAGAAUGGAUGGAAGAAGGAAUGAGCGAAUACUGAUGCUGGGAACUGAAGCGGAGCAUCUUGAUGUCACUAAAGCUCUUAAAGAAACACAGUCACUACUUUCUGACCUACUACGUGCAGCCUGUUGGAUAGUGCUUUGUUGAAAUCCAGAAUGUAAAGUUGAGCUUUGUAAAAUUUCCAACUUUUGAAUGAGAUUUCAUAAAGCGUGGAUUCGUUUGUAGAAUCAUAAACGUCAAUGCAUCUGAAUAAAACCCAUCUAUUUUUAUUUAAAGGCAAAAAAGUAUAACAAUAUGCUAGAAGAAUUAAAAUGUAAUUAACUGAUCAUUGGAAUUUGAUUUUUAACAAGAAUUAAUUUGCAGAAAACAGAA
rnacentral:lncRNA from 1 species